rnacentral:pre_miRNA from 1 species
UGCAAAUUGUUUUUCGUAUUACUUAUUUCAAUUAUGUUGAACGGGAAACAAUUUGUGCAG